rnacentral:rRNA from 1 species
UACGGAGGAUGCGAGCGUUAUCCGGAUUUAUUGGGUUUAAAGGGUGCGCAGGCGGCACGGCAAGCCGGCGGUCAAAUCGCGGGGCUCAACCCCGCCCAGCCGUCGGAACUGCCGGGCUAGAGUGGGCGAGAAGUGCGCGGAAUGCGUGGUGUAGCGGUGAAAUGCAUAGAUAUCACGCAGAACUCCGAUUGCGAAGGCAGCGCACCGGCGCCCUACUGACACUCAGGCACGAAAGCGUGGGGAGCAAACAGG